rnacentral:rRNA from 1 species
UGGGGAAUAUUGGACAAUGGGCGAAAGCCUGAUCCAGCCAUGCCGCGUGUGUGAAGAAGGUCUUCGGAUUGUAAAGCACUUUAAGUUGGGAGGAAGGGCAGUAAGUUAAUACCUUGCUGCUUUGACGUUACCGACAGAAUAAGCACCGGCUAACUCUGUGCCAGCAGCCGCGGUAAUACAGAGGGUGCAAGCGUUAAUCGGCAUUACUGGGCGUAAAGCGCGCGUAGGUGGUUUGUUAAGUUGGAUGUGAAAGCCCCGGGCUCAACCUGGGAACUGCAUCCAAAACUGGCAAGCUAGAGUACGGUAGAGGGUGGUGGAAUUUCCUGUGUAGCGGUGAAAUGCGUAGAUAUAGGAAGGAACACCAGUGGCGAAGGCGACCACCUGGACUGAUACUGACACUGAGGUGCGAAAGCGUGGGGAGCAAACA